CGCUAAAAAUAUUACACUUUUUACGGCACACAAAAAUUCAAUCAUUAAAAAAUAUACUUUUCACGAUGCACAUAUACUAACUGUUAAAAAUAUUUUACUUUUUACGACAUGUAAUUCCUGUCGUGAGUAAUGAGUAAUAUGACCAAAAUAAAAAUAGGCGCCAAAAGUAAAAUACUCUGGCGCCAAAUGUAAAAUGAAAUAAUCUUCGAAUUGGCGUAGUUGUCUCUCUCUACACGAAUGCUAAAAGCUCAGUGAUCUCCAGAAGUUACUACUACUCUCUACUCCACCACACUCUUCCAUUUCAAACCCUAAAUCUCUACUCCUCCACCACACUUCCAUUUCAAACCCUUAAAUCAUAUUCUCACUCUCUUUCACUCUCUCCUCCAAUUUCUCUCUCUACAACCCACAACGACCAUGGCUCUUCUCUCACCCAAUUCAUCGAUCCAGAGCUGCCAUGGAGACUAGCAAAAGGCGAGAGCUGGUUUUCAGAGACUUCCAUUACCUUUUACCCGUUCCGAACUCACUCAACACUCAUCACGAUGGAUCGGUAUCAGAGGGUAGAGAAACCGUGGCCAAAGACGCCGAUUAAGAAUGAGAUUCGUAUAACCACUUAGGGAAGGAUGAGGAACUACAUUAUUUAUGCUACCACUCUGUUUAAGGUCUCUCUCUCUCUCUCUCUCUCUCUCUCUCACACACACACACACACACACACACAUAGAAAAAUUAGGGUUUUGAUUGAACAAAUAAAAAAUUAGAAUUGUGUUUCAGGUUGUGAAAUUAUUAUUAUUUUUUUGUUUUUAAAUUUCUUGAAUGCGAGUUGGGGAAAAUGUCUGAAUCUGAAUUGGAAAAAUUAAAACCUGAAUGUGAAAUUAGGUUCUUGGGUUGAACACAUUUUUUUUUUAAAUAUAAAUUUGUUGAAUCUAAAGAAAUUGGGUUCUAUUACGAAUCGUCUUCCGACAAUAGGAAUCAUAAAUGCACAAACCAUCAUAUAGAAUGAAAGUGAAACACAGCACACAGGGAAAUCUUGAAAGACAAACACAAUUGUGACAGCAGUGUUGCAGUAAUUUAGAAUGUAGAACUAUAUUCCACUGUAUACAGAUGAAAGGUGCUAUAUGUAAUGAUAGUUUAUGUUAAUUUUGUGAAGAAAAAAAAAGGCAACAGUUUCAUUUAGUUUGGUGAGCACACAAUUUAAAAAUUACACUGUUGUUUCAUAAUUUUUAACCAGAAACACGACCCACAUACUAAAAACCUUAGUGUAUGACCUGACAAACACCAACAAUUUUUUCAUCUUUCCCCAGAAAUCAAGGUUAAGUGGCCAAACCAGGUAACCACUUGGCUUACACUGGCAGUGGUAUAAGGUAGAAAAAAUGGAAGCUUGGAACUUCCAAGUUUUGCUGAAAUUUUUUAACCUUAUUCUAAUGAUAUCCUUUAACUAAAGAAUGGAAGACAACAGGACAUCUUUCAUCUUAGAAAUUUGCUAAAACAGAAAAAGGGAAAGCAUUUUUAUUGCUUUCUUUUACGCCUCAGAAAGAAAAUUUGAAGCAUAAUAUUGCCUUAACAAUUCCAAUGUGAAAAGAUGACAAACUUGUUCCUGAUAAUUUCCAAUAUGGCACAUAUACAUAUAAACCCAAUCAAAUAGCUCUAUAAUAAUUCCUGUAUUCCUGUAUAAAAUUGUCAAAUAGUCCAAUACAACCGAGCUGUCUUCAAGAAAGUACCAGCUCAAUAAUGUCGUGCUUCUCCUUCAGCCAUAGACUAUUCUUCAAACUUUGCCAAUGGGCUUCCUUUCUCAUUUGAGAUUCAGGUGCAGAUUUUUCUUUUUAAUUUUAUUUUUGAAACAAAAAAGAAAACACAGAUGGCUGUGGAAACUUCUUCAAAAAUAGAAUUGUCAAGAUCCAAUAAAGCUUUAUAGAACGUUAUUAACUAAUUUAAGUUAUGCACUCAAGAAGUGGGUAAUUGCUUUGUUACUUGUCAAAAGGGAGUUUGAUCAUAAACAAAAGGCAAGGUCCCUUUUAGGAAACCGCAUUAAUGGUUCAAUUCCAAAGGAAAUCAAAUCAGAGACAUUGCUACUCUUGAGGAGCUGUAAGUCAUGGAUACUGUUCUGUCUACUGGACUAAUAAAUGAAGCCUGACCUUGAUUUUAACGUGAACUAUCUUAUACAGGGUCUUGGAAGAUAAUCAGCUUAGAGGACCUCUUCAUCAAAACCUUGGAAAUUUGAGCUGCAUGAGGAGGCUCUUUCUUUCUGCCAACAAUUUUACUGGAACAAUUCCAGACACAUUCAGCAAAUUGAAAAACUUGACAGAUUUGCAUAUGCAAGGCACAUCCAUGGAUGGCCCCAUUCCUUCUACCAUAUCCCAGCCGAAAAACAUAACCGAGUUAUUACAUUGGUGAAUUGGCUACACUUAAAACAUUGCAAACCAUUGAUGUUCUGGCUGCGAGACUCUACUUCUAUUACUCUCUCAGUUAUGAGCUCACUGGUGAUCUUACUGAAAUUCAGA